rnacentral:rRNA from 2 species
GCUUGCAUCAUGAUUUACAUUUGAGUGAGUGGCGAACUGGUGAGUAACACGUGGGAAACCUGCCCAGAAGCGGGGGAUAACACCUGGAAACAGAUGCUAAUACCGCAUAACAACUUGGACCGCAUGGUCCGAGUUUGAAAGAUGGCUUCGGCUAUCACUUUUGGAUGGUCCCGCGGCGUAUUAGCUAGAUGGUGGGGUAACGGCUCACCAUGGCAAUGAUACGUAGCCGACCUGAGAGGGUAAUCGGCCACAUUGGGACUGAGACACGGCCCAAACUCCUACGGGAGGCAGCAGUAGGGAAUCUUCCACAAUGGACGAAAGUCUGAUGGAGCAACGCCGCGUGAGUGAAGAAGGGUUUCGGCUCGUAAAACUCUGUUGUUAAAGAAGAACAUAUCUGAGAGUAACUGUUCAGGUAUUGACGGUAUUUAACCAGAAAGCCACGGCUAACUACGUGCCAGCAGCCGCGGUAAUACGUAGGUGGCAAGCGUUGUCCGGAUUUAUUGGGCGUAAAGCGAGCGCAGGCGGUUUUUUAAGUCUGAUGUGAAAGCCUUCGGCUCAACCGAAGAAGUGCAUCGGAAACUGGGAAACUUGAGUGCAGAAGAGGACAGUGGAACUCCAUGUGUAGCGGUGAAAUGCGUAGAUAUAUGGAAGAACACCAGUGGCGAAGGCGGCUGUCUGGUCUGUAACUGACGCUGAGGCUCGAAAGUAUGGGUAGCAAACAGGAUUAGAUACCCUGGUAGUCCAUACCGUAAACGAUGAAUGCUAAGUGUUGGAGGGUUUCCGCCCUUCAGUGCUGCAGCUAACGCAUUAAGCAUUCCGCCUGGGGAGUACGGCCGCAAGGCUGAAACUCAAAGGAAUUGACGGGGGCCCGCACAAGCGGUGGAGCAUGUGGUUUAAUUCGAAGCUACGCGAAGAACCUUACCAGGUCUUGACAUACUAUGCAAAUCUAAGAGAUUAGACGUUCCCUUCGGGGACAUGGAUACAGGUGGUGCAUGGUUGUCGUCAGCUCGUGUCGUGAGAUGUUGGGUUAAGUCCCGCAACGAGCGCAACCCUUAUUAUCAGUUGCCAGCAUUAAGUUGGGCACUCUGGUGAGACUGCCGGUGACAAACCGGAGGAAGGUGGGGAUGACGUCAAAUCAUCAUGCCCCUUAUGACCUGGGCUACACACGUGCUACAAUGGAUGGUACAACGAGUUGCGAACUCGCGAGAGUAAGCUAAUCUCUUAAAGCCAUUCUCAGUUCGGAUUGUAGGCUGCAACUCGCCUACAUGAAGUCGGAAUCGCUAGUAAUCGCGGAUCAGCAUGCCGCGGUGAAUACGUUCCCGGGCCUUGUACACACCGCCCGU